CCCUCGGUCGUCUAGUUGGUUUAUGGCGUCGUAGGUUCACCCAAAAAUUGCUCUCAGUUAGUUGAAAAAGCUAACAUCGGCAUUUCUAGCGGCUGUAAUUGUUCAGUCUCACCGGAAUGUCGCGCGUUCGACUCGCGCCUGAGGGA